UACGGAGGGUGCAAGCGUUAAUCGGAAUUACUGGGCGUAAAGGGUGCGUAGGCGGUUGUUUAAGUCUGGUGUGAAAUCUCCCGGCUCAACUGGGAGGGUGCGCCGGAAACUGCAAGGCUGGAGUAUGGGAGAGGUAGGCGGAAUUCCUGGUGUAGCGGUGAAAUGCGUAGAUAUCAGGAGGAACACCUGUGGUGUAGACGGCUUACUGGACCAUGACUGACGCUGAGGCACGAAAGCGUGGGGAGCAAACAGG
rnacentral:rRNA from 1 species